rnacentral:rRNA from 1 species
UUAAGUCCCGCAACGAGCGCAACCCUCGCUGUGUGUUACAAGUGUCACACGGAACUGCCGGUCAUAAACCGGAGGAAGGUGGGGAUGACGUCAAGUCAGCAUGGCCUUUAUAUCCUGGGCUACACACACGCUACAAUGGGAAGGGACAAUAGGUUGCGAAGCCGCGAGGCGGAGCCAAUCCAGCAAAACUUCCCUCAGUUCAGAUUGCAGGCUGCAACCCGCCUGCAUGAAGUUGGAGUUGCUAGUAAACGCAGGUCAGCCAUACUGCGUUGAAUACGUUCCCGGGGCUU